UAUGACUGUUGUCAUUAAACGUCAUUUGCUUUUUGUAAAGUCUGCACCCCAAACAGCGUCAACUUUACAAAAAACAAAUGACUCUUUCUUCCUGAAGCAAAUCUGUUUUGUCCUAAUGUUUCAGCUGAGGUAUUCUCUAGUUGUCUUGUUAAAGUUAUUUUAAUAAAGUAUGAUACUUAGUAUUGGCGACUGUCUCACAAAUUUCAGUCACCAAGCAGCUGAGUAGGAGAAACUAACGUGCCCGACGCACUAGAUGUCCAAACUUCCAAACAAUCAAGUUUCAGUUUAGGUUGCUUUAUUUAAUCUUCACAGUAUCCAAGCAUUAAAAACAUCAGUGAGUCAGACAGUUCAUAUCCAUAUUAUCCACAGUAGCGAUAGAAUCCACAGGUUCAGCAGUAAUAUAUAAACGAGACUUCAAGUAUAUCAGGAUAAAGUGCAUAAGCGAGGAUAAAGUGCAAGUGCAGACUCCCAGCAGGAUAAAGUGCAAAGUGCCAAAAAUGGGAAGCAUAAAGCGGUCAGCAAAAAGUAGGCUUCCCCCAUCACCCACUCACUAACUAACUCUCACCUAGCGAGUGAACAGGUGAUAUUUCAAAUCACUACUGCCACCACCACCACGUGACCAAUUAGUGCACGUCAUCACGUAGACACACCCAAACACAAGACCCAAGCCUUUGCCUGUCCGUAACACUAAGUGUGCUCAGUAAAACUUGUGUGAUUGACAUAGGAUGUUUUAAAUUGUAGGCUUUGGGCAGAUUGAGACAACGUAUGGAUGGAUUGCGCCAACACCAUGAUGAGUGUGCAAAAAGACAUCAUUUGGUUCAAGACAGCAUACCUGUUAGUACUUCUGGUUUGCUUUUGGAAGACCUGCAACAGGAAGAGCCAGAGCCACCUCCUCUAGAAAGGACAGACAGCAUAUUCUUAACCAAGAAGAUGCUGAACAUUACUGAGACUGAGUCCUCCAGUAGUGAAAGUGUAAGUGACGAGGACAAGGAGUAUGUCCCUCAAAAAUCGGAGGAAUCAGAUGGCUCCUCUGAUGAAGAGCCUUUGAAAGUGCCGAUUCCACCCAGAAAAGUGUACAAGAGGGUCAGACAACUGCCAGAGGAAAGUGAAAGUGUAGUGGAGAGUAGCAGUACUUCCGUGGUUGUAAUGAACGUAAAAAAACUGAAGGAUGGGACAAAAAAGUACCAUCAGAAAAGAAACUACUGCCUUUUUUGUGAUAAAUGUUACCCAAAGCUUGCGCGCCAUCUCGAACAGAGGCAUGCUGAUGAGGCAGAAGUGGCCAGAGCACUGGCAUGUCCAAAAAGAUCUAAGGAAAGAAGGCUGCAGUUAGACUACUUACGGAAAAGGGGGAACCGAGCCCAUAACGUAGAGGCACUUAGAGAAGGGAAAGGUGUGGUAGUGCCUUGCAAACAAUCCAGUGGUGCCAAUGCAGAUGCCUCAGACUAUCACCACUGUCCCAAUUGUCAAGUACUUUUCAAAAAGAAGUUCAUGUGGAAGCAUAUGAAACUGUGUGCUCUUUCACAGAAAUGUGGUAAAGCUAAGCCAGGAAAAACGCGAGUUCAGUCUUUGUGUGCAUUUGCUCAGCCAGUUCCUGCUGGUGUGACAACCAAAACAUGGAAAAUGAUAAGUAACAUGUGCCAGGACAAGAUCGCACAGGCAGUUCAAAAAGACAGAUGCAUAAUUGCAUUAGCACAGCAAAUGCUAAACAAGAAAGGAGCGUCACAGGAUGAGCAUAUCCGCGCAACACUAAGAGAGCUUGGAAGAUUAUUGCUGGCUGGACAGGAGGUCACUCCUCUGAAGAGUAUUGAGCAGUAUGUCAUGCCAUCAAAUUUCCAUCAUUUAAUCAGAGCAGUAAAGGUUGUUGCAGGUUAUGACGAGAAAACCAACACCAUCAAAAAGUCAUCUCUGGCACUAAAACUGGGACAUAGCCUAAAGAAAGUAGCAGACCUUGUUGCAUGUGAAGCCCUCAUAUCAGGAAAUCAAGACAAAGCAAAGCUGAUUGAAAACUUCCGCGAGAUAUAUAGAACACGGUGGAAUGAGUUCAUUUCUGCGUCUGCUUACCGAACACUGCAGGAAGCUAAAUGGAAUGCGCCUCAGCUUAUUCCAUUUACUGAUGACGUCAAAAAGUUGCACCUUCAUCUGGAUGAGAAACAGGAGGAGUACUCCAACGUGCUUUCCGGUGACCAGACGCCAAGAAACUGGACCAAUCUCGCCAAAGUGAUCCUUGCCAAAGUUAUCCUGUUCAAUCGGCGUCGACAAGGAGAGGUUUCCAAGAUGUUGUUGACGACCUACUUGUCCAGGGUGUCAACACCUGUACAUGAUGACAUCGCUCAUGCCUUAUCGGAGGUGGAAAAAAUUCUAUGCAAAUACUUUUCACGCAUGGAAGUAAGAGGGAAAAGAGGAAGGAAGGUGCCGGUGCUAUUGACCCCUGCUAUGGUCAAGUCAUUGGAUCUGCUUGCAAAGGAGAGAUCAAAUUGCGGGAUCCUACCUGACAAUGACUUCUUAUUCGCCAGGCCUGGCAGUGCAUCUCACUUAAAGGGGUCAGACUGCAUUCGUGUCUACGCAAGAGAAUGUGGAGCUGAGCAGCCGCAGACCCUCUCUUCGACGAAACUCAGAAAGCAAGUGGCCACCUUGAGCAAGGUGCUGAACCUUACAGACACCGAACUUGAUCAGUUGGCGGAGUUUUUAGGGCACGACAUAAGAAUCCACAGGCAGUAUUACCGCUUGCCAGAGGGGACUCUGCAAUUAGCCAAAAUAAGCAAAAUUCUGAUGGCAUGCGAGCAGGGAAAGUUGGCAGACUUCAAAGGGAAAACAUUGGAAGAGAUUACCAUAGAGCCCAGAGGUAAGAAGUGUAGGGUGUAG
rnacentral:lncRNA from 1 species